UACGGAGGGGACUAGCGUUGUUCGGAAUUACUGGGCGUAAAGCGCACGUAGGCGGAUUGCUAAGUCAGGGGUGAAAUCCUGGAGCUCAACUCCAGAACUGCCUUUGAUACUGGCGACCUUGAGUCCGGGAGAGGUGAGUGGAACUGCGAGUGUAGAGGUGAAAUUCGUAGAUAUUCGCAAGAACACCAGUGGCGAAGGCGGCUCACUGGCCCGAUACUGACGCUGAGGCACGAAAGCGUGGGGAGCAAACAGG
rnacentral:rRNA from 1 species